UGCAUGAUUUUAGUAAUCAGGGUCCAGUAAUAAAAAACCCCGUAUUCGGGGUUUUUUAUUAUCUGAAACAUGACCAUUCAGGUAUUUACUGGGCUUUAUGCCCUUUUUUU
rfam:Photobacterium iliopiscarium strain ATCC 51761 CFSAN029430_contig0004, whole genome shotgun sequence.